rnacentral:rRNA from 1 species
CAAUAGCGUAUAUUAAAGCUGUUGCGGUUAAAAAGCUCGUAGUUGGAUUUCUGUCAAGGACAACUGGUCCGCCCUCCGGGUGAGCACAUAGUUUGGUCUUGGCAUCCUGCUGGAAGCUGUUGCUGCACUUGGCUGUGUGGCGCAGCGUCCAGCACUUUCACUUUGAGGAAAUUGGAGUGUUUCAAGCAGGCACAUGCCUUUGGACACAGUAGCAUGGAAUAAUUAGAUUGGGCUUUUGCUCCAAUUUGUCGGUUUCUGGAGCUGAGGUGAGAAUUAAUGGGGAUUGUUGGGGGCAUCCGAAUUUAGCCGUCAGAGGUGAAAUUCUUGGAUCUGCUAAAGACGGACAACUGCGAAAGCGUUUGCCCAGGAUGUUUUCAUUGA